GAUCCUGGCUCAGGACGAACGCUGGCGGCGUGCUUCAUACAUGCAAGUCGAACGAGAAAUUCACUUCGGUGGAUGGAAAGUGGCGGACGGGUGAGUAAUGUGUAGAGAAUCUGCCCUAGAGCGGGGGACAACAGCUGGAAACGGUUGCUAAUACCCCAUAUGAGCGUAUCUGAAAUGGUAUUCUUGAAAACUCCGGUGCUCUAGGAUGAGUCUGCAUCUGAUUAGCUAGUUGGGGG
rnacentral:rRNA from 1 species